AGCAAGUUAGUAUAAUAAAUACCGUUGAGUUAGAAUCAAUAAAUAAGUCAAACCACUUACUUGCCA
rnacentral:tRNA from 1 species